rnacentral:rRNA from 1 species
AAGGCUUGACAUGCACCGGACGACUCCAGAGAUGGGGUUUUCUUCGGACUGGUGCACAGGUGGUGCAUGGUUGUCGUCAGCUCGUGUCGUGAGAUGUUGGGUUAAGUCCCGCAACGAGCGCAACCCUUGUUCUAUGUUGCCAGCACGUGAUGGUGGGGACUCAUAGGAGACUGCCGGGGUCAACUCGGAGGAAGGUGGGGACGACGUCAAAUCAUCAUGCCCCUUAUGUCUUGGGCUUCAAGCAUGCUACAAUGGUCGGUACAAUGGGUUGCGAAGCUGUGAGGUGGAGCGAAUCCCAAAAAGCCGGCCUCAGUUCGGAUUGGGGUCUGCAACUCGACCCCAUGAAGUCGGAGUCGCUAGUAAUCGCAGAUCAGCAACGCUGCGGUGAAUACGUUCCCGGGCC